rnacentral:rRNA from 1 species
UACGGAGGGUGCAAGCGUUGUCCGGAUUUAUUGGGUUUAAAGGGUGCGUAGGCGGUUCCAUAAGUCAGUGUUUAAAGUCUGCAGCUUAACUGUAGGAAUGGCAUUGAUACUGUAGAACUUGAGUAAAGUUGAGGUAGGCGGAAUUGAAGGUGUAGCGGUGAAAUGCAUAGAUAUCUUCAAGAACACCGAUUGCGAAGGCAGCUUACUAAGCUUUAACUGACGCUGAGGCACGAAAGCGUGGGGAUCAAACAGG